rnacentral:lncRNA from 1 species
GUGUGAGCCAUUUACUGUUAAAAUAUCUAGAAACAUAAAAAUAUACUUUAUAAAACUGUUUUGUUGUAGGGGUAAAUUCAGUAAAAAAUCUCCCAUUGACUUUAAUGCUAAUCUAUGUGUGGAAAUAAAUUUAUACCUGAUUUACCUUUAGAAAUUAAAAUCUUUCAUAUAUCAUUCAUGAAAGUACAAAUGUAGCCCUAUCUUUUGCAACAAUAAAAACAUAGGGUCAUGCGGCAUUUUUGGGCAUUCACAUGGCCUUGUUUACAAACAAUGUAGAUUCGCACUGAAUUCCUAUACUGACCCCCAUUACUUUUCAACCCUGAAGGGGAAAAAAUUAGUACAUUCAGCAUAUAUUUUUUAUUUUUUU